rnacentral:lncRNA from 1 species
UCGGAAUCACCUAGUCUAUAGCUAAACCACAUGCAAUCUACCAUAUCGUAGGAGUCUACUCAUGUGUUCACAACUAGAUCGACAAAUUAGUGAAUCGUAAUCUCUUGUCAAAAUCCACUCUAUUCGUUGUCGAUACUCCCCCGAUCUCUCGGGCGGAAGCUACCUACAACGAAUGAUAUGAAAGCGCGUCAAUCGUUCGCUACACUCUAUG